UAUUUUGAACCGCAUGGUUCAAUAGUGAAAGACGGUUUCGGCUGUCACUUAUAGAUGGACCCGCGCCGUAUUAGCUAGUUGGUAAGGUAACGGCUUACCAAGGCGACGAUACGUAGCCGACCUGAGAGGGUGAUCGGCCACACUGGAACUGAGACACGGUCCAGACUCCUACGGGAGGCAGCAGUAGGGAAUCUUCCGCAAUGGGCGAAAGCCUGACGGAGCAACGCCGCGUGAGUGAUGAAGGUCUUCGGAUCGUAAAACUCUGUUGUUAGGGAAGAACAAAUUUGUUAGUAACUGAACAAGUCUUGACGGUACCUAACCAGAAAGCCACGGCUAACUACGUGCCAGCAGCCGCGGUAAUACGUAGGUGGCAAGCGUUAUCCGGAAUUAUUGGGCGUAAAGCGCGCGUAGGCGGUUUCUUAAGUCUGAUGUGAAAGCCCACGGCUCAACCGUGGAGGGUCAUUGGAAACUGGGAAACUUGAGUGCAGAAGAGGAGAGUGGAAUUCCAUGUGUAGCGGUGAAAUGCGCAGAGAUAUGGAGGAACACCAGUGGCGAAGGCGGCUCUCUGGUCUGUAACUGACGCUGAUGUGCGAAAGCGUGGGGAUCAAACAGGAUUAGAUACCCUGGUAGUCCACGCCGUAAACGAUGAGUGCUAAGUGUUAGGGGGUUUCCGCCCCUUAGUGCUGCAGCUAACGCAUUAAGCACUCCGGCCUGGGAGUACGACCGCAAGGUUGAAACUCAANGAAUUGACGGGGACNCGCACAAGCGGUGGAGCAUGUGGUUUAAUUCGAAGC
rnacentral:rRNA from 1 species